rnacentral:rRNA from 1 species
CCUACGGGAGGCAGCAGUGGGGGAUAUUGCACAAUGGGGGAAACCCUGAUGCAGCGACGCCGCGUGGGUGAAGAAGCGCCUCGGCGCGUAAAGCCCUGUCAGCAGGGAAGAAACAGACGGUACCUGAAGAAGAAGCCCCGGCUAACUACGUGCCAGCAGCCGCGGUAAUACGUAGGGGGCAAGCGUUAUCCGGAUUUACUGGGUGUAAAGGGGGCGCAGAGGGCGAAGCAAGCCAGGAGUGAAAGCCCGGGGCCCAACCCCGGGACUGCUCUUGGAACUGCGUGGCUAGAGUGCAGGAGGGGCAGGCGGAAUUCCUGGUGUAGCGGUGAAAUGCGUAGAUAUCAGGAGGAACACCAGUGGCGAAGGCGGCCUGCUGGACUGCAACUGACGUUGAGGCCCGAAAGCGUGGAGAGCAAACAGGAUUAGAUACCCCAGUAGUC